GAUUGUUACUCCAUCGAUUUUAUUGUUGCUCCGUUCCACUCUGGCCACAUUUUGCAUCGUCAUAGCAAUCACAAGUGGCGUACGAAAGUCAGAUCCAAGAUGGUUCAUUUAUCUCACAAACUGGGGUUUCCUGUUACUCACUAUGGCUAUGAUAGGACUUGCGCUAAUUAGCAUAAUCCACGCGUUUUCGAAAACUGAUUUGAGAAAGACUUCGCUUGAGAUGCGCAGCCGUGGUGAAAUGAUUGAUGCUGAAAGUACCUCACAAACGCAAAGUAACGAAAAUCAAAUCGAGCCCAAGUCUUUAGCCUGGUACGAAAAAGGCAAGAAAGGACAAUUUGUUUAUAGUCUGACAUAAAUAUCUGUAGCAUAUAAACUGCUUUGGAAAUACUGAAAGGCAAAAGCCGAUAAUACUCCAGGGGAUGAAAUGAUCAUCAUCGUUGAUAAAUUUAUAAAAUGUUAUCGAUCUUUGGAAUUACACUUGUUUUGUAUUUUGUUAAAAUACUCAGUGGUUUGAAACAUUUUCUGUUCUUAAAAAGUAGUUAAAAGUUUUAUACCUGCAUAUAACCAGCUCCAGCAGUGCCGCCGCCUGCCCUCUCUCCCCGCCCCCAUUGUUUUCACUGUGCAGUUUUAGAUUCGUUCAAUUCCAGAGUUGAACGCAAUGGGUUCACACUGCGAAAAUUAUUCUCCGAUUAUUACAUUCUCCAAGUGCUCCCACAAAGCACGAAAUUCCGUUUCAGAUACCCCCUAGAAUUGUGACAUUACAGAUUAUUAGUUCCUCCCCCCCCCGAAAUAAAAUCCGGGCGGCGCCACUGGGCCUCAUGUUUCUUGAAUUUUCAUGUUGUUGCAUUACAUUAUAUCGGACGGUGUGCAUACGGCACACACAUACAUAUCGCGUAUAAGAGGCCUCCAAAGAGCUAAUAUGCUCAUGUAGUUUACUAAGAACGUUUUCACGUACAGUUUUGAUUCGAUAGUUUCAUCCCAUAUACAUUCCAGACUGUAAUUACUUUGAAAUGAGUGUACAUCCACUUGAUGGAUAAUAUGCAUUUUCUGUUGCUAGGCGUAUGGUUUCUGUGGAUUAUCGCAUCAAAUGGUGCAUUGGUGGUUUCCUUAAAUUACUGGGUACUAGUCUUUGAACCUCCCACAAACUUCAUGGACAUCGCAGUUCAUGCACUCAAUUCAACUGUCAUGUUUGUGGAGUUCUUCACGGCAUCCAUACCGGUCCGUAUUCUACAUGUUCUGUAUGUAAUGUUAUUCGCAGUCGUCUAUAGUCUAUUCACUGUUAUAUUCUGGGCUGCUGGAGGAGUGACUGUUGAUGGUGAUCCAUAUAUAUACAAGGUUUUAGACUAUGAGAAUGGUGAUCCCGCUCAGGUCUCUGCUGUGGUGCUUGGUAUCGUCUUUGUCGCCUCACCCAUUCUACAGUUUAUUCUGUUUGCUCUAUACCAAUUGAGAUGUUUCUUGCAUAAGAAGAGGGGAAACUUGAGUGUUAACGUUACUGUGACUAACCAAUGAUGCUCAUGCGAGAGCCUUUAUAUCAUCUUUGUCAUCUUACCCAUCUUAUGGUAUCAAUGAGAUGGAGAAGAUACUUCGAUGUUACUGUAUAGAAUAAAACUACUGUAUUGUUUAGAUUAGAUUUAUUUACAAAAACUGCUUAUAUAUAUUCGCUUAUACAACCGAAAUUCAAGGACUCUUCUCUAUCACAACGUUAGUCCAGAUCUCGUUCAGAUCUGCAGAAGAAAUCUGUCGCCUCGAAAACUAAAAGGCAGGUACUUUCAUUUGAAAAAAGACUUAUGUCUGAACGAAGUUUCUGACCUCAACUUAAUUUUCGAAUUUGCAAUAAUGAAAACUAAUUAAUUUCACUUCAUG
rnacentral:lncRNA from 1 species